AGAAAAUAACGGGCUUCGUGGGUUUCCUUCGUUAUGAUUACAAGGUGAACCGCUCCAAUUAUGACAAAGUCAUUCAUGUUCUUACAUAUAUUAUAAAAACGGCACAAAUUGACUUCACGUUAGCAGGUGCUCCAGUUUCCUCCCACAGUCCAAGGACAUGCAGUUUAUGUGAGCUGGUGUUGGUAAAUCAGGCCCUGAUGUGCGUGUGUGUGUGUGUUCAUCCUGCAAUGGAUUGGCGUCCCGUCCAGGGAUUGUUUCUGCCAAGCAUUCAAUGCUUUCUUUUUGCCUUCAACUUCCUCGUGACCCUGCUCUGGAUGGGCAAGUACAGAAAAUGGCAGGAAGGAUGGAAGGGAUAGUGGAGAAUGGAGAAAAGUGCUGAAUGGGCACAUAACAAUAAACAUUUCAAAACAUUUUCAAAAUGUAUUCUUUUAAUGCACUAGGUAAAAAGCAAAUAAAUACUUUUCUUUCAAUAUUUAUUCCAGUACAAAAGCUGACCUGCAAAUACAAAGGUUUUCGAUCUACAUUUUUUGUGUCACAAUGUAAAAUACGAUAGCAAGUCUGAGAAUGUUAUUAUAUUGCACAAAACACUAAAAAUCUAUGCAACCUGCCAUCUUAUUCUUAAUCCUCUCGGCUCGAUUUUCUGUUUUUUUUUUUAGUUUUUUUUUUACGGGAAACGUUAUUUUCUGAGAUAGUCUACCUUUGGGGUGUCUAGGAAUCUCAAAAAAAAAAA